rnacentral:rRNA from 1 species
UACAGAGGGGGCAAGCGUUGUUCGGAAUUACUGGGCGUAAAGGGCGCGUAGGCGGCCUUCUAAGUCGAACGUGAAAUCCCCGGGCUCAACCCGGGAACUGCGUCCGAUACUGGAAGGCUUGAAUCCGGGAGAGGGAUGUGGAAUUCCCGGUGUAGUGGUGAAAUGCGUAGAUAUCGGGAGGAACACCAGUGGCGAAGGCGACUACCUGGCCUGUUUCUUGACACUGAGGCGCGAAAGCUAGGGGAGCAAACGGG